CGCGUAGGCGGAUUGUUAAGUCAGAUGUGAAAACCGGGGGCUCAACCCGCGGCCUGCAUCUGAAACUGGCAGUCUUGAGUCUGGUAGAGGAAAGUGGAAUUCCCAGUGUAGCGGUGAAAUGCGCAGAUAUUGGGAGGAACACCAGUGGCGAAGGCGGCUUUCUGGGCCACGACUGACGCUGAGGCGCGAAAGCUAGGGGAGCAAACA
rnacentral:rRNA from 1 species